UCUGUGCCGCCCGCAGCGUAAACAAGGCGCUGGCGGCGAUGAGGAGGCCGCGGGCGUGUGGAGCGGGCCGGGGCGGCUGGGCUUGAGUUGCGUUGCCUUUUGGAGGCGUCCCCCCGCCGGACGGGGGUGGUUGAGGGUUGUCCCGCCAUGAACUUGGCCGGGCAGAGCGGUGACGCCGGCAGCGGCCAUCUGCUCUUCGCUAACUUCAACCAGGACAACACAUCCCUUGCAGUUGGCAGUAAAUCAGGCUACAAGUUCUUCUCUCUUUCUUCUGUGGACAAAUUAGAGCAGAUCUAUGAAUGCACUGACACUGAAGAUGUGUGCAUUGUGGAGAGGCUGUUCUCCAGCAGUCUGGUGGCCAUCGUCAGCCUUAAAGCUCCACGCAAGCUGAAGGUUUGUCACUUUAAGAAGGGGACAGAGAUUUGCAACUACAGUUACUCCAACACCAUCCUGGCUGUCAAACUCAAUAGGCAGAGGCUGAUAGUAUGUCUGGAAGAGUCUCUUUAUAUACACAAUAUACGAGACAUGAAGGUAUUGCAUACAAUCAGGGAGACGCCACCCAAUCCAGCAGGGUUGUGUGCUUUGUCAAUAAACAAUGACAACUGCUAUCUGGCCUAUCCAGGGAGUGCAACUAUUGGAGAAGUACAGGUCUUUGACACCAUCAAUCUGAGAGCUGCUAAUAUGAUCCCAGCUCAUGACAGUCCCUUGGCUGCUUUGGCUUUUGAUGCGAGCGGUUCGAAACUUGCCACUGCCUCAGAGAAGGGGACAGUGAUAAGAGUGUUUUCCAUUCCAGAGGGACAGAAACUGUUUGAAUUCCGGAGGGGAGUGAAGAGGUGUGUGAGCAUCUGCUCGUUGGCUUUCAGCAUGGAUGGCAUGUUUCUGUCUGCAUCCAGCAACACAGAGACAGUGCAUAUCUUCAAACUUGAGACUGUGAAAGAAAAACCUCAGGAAGAGCCUACAACCUGGACAGGUUACUUUGGAAAAGUACUGAUGGCCUCAACAAGCUAUCUGCCCUCUCAAGUAACAGAGAUGUUCAACCAGGGCAGAGCCUUUGCUACAGUCCGCCUGCCGUUCUGUGGGCACAAAAAUAUCUGUGCACUUGCCACAAUUCAGAAGAUCCCUCGUUUAUUGGUGGGAGCUGCUGAUGGGUAUCUCUACAUGUACAACCUAGACCCCCAAGAAGGAGGAGAGUGCACACUAAUGAAGCAGCACAAGCUCGAUGGCAGCAUGGAGCCGGCCAACGAGAUCCUGGAGUCUGCAUCCCACGACCGGCCGCUGGUGGCGCAGCCGUACAGCGCUGCUGGGACUAAAGGUACAUACGUGCCUUCCUCACCCACAAGGCAUGCUUAUCCGGAUGACCUGGGAGCUGUGGGUGGAGCUUGCCUGGAAGACGAAACCAACUCGCUCAGAUUGGAUGAAGACAGUGAGCAUCCCCCCAUGAUCCUCCGGACAGACUGAACUUUGACCUGUGAACUCACUCCUGAAGCAGAGAACACUGGCUUGAUGUUUCUUGAGGAAUCUCGUGUUAUGCUGCUAUGAACUUUGACAUGAGCUGGGAGAGAGGAUGACAGACUCUUACAGUUUUAAGUCGUAGCUGUAGUUCUAAUUCUAUACCAUUGGAAAAAAAAUAUAUGGUUUUCAAUUCAGUGGCUUUUAAUCUUGCUUAUCUAUUUUAGCUGUGUUUUUUGUUGUUUUUUUUCAUUGCCAAAACCUGCUGUUUGUGCAGCCCUCGGGGCCUACUAGCUUUGCAUGCGUUCAUGUGCCAAGCAAGCAUAGGAGGGGAGAGAGAGAGAAGCCACUUUAUAACAAACUCAAGUUUGUAUUUUUUUUAUAUAUGUAUAUAAUACUUAGCUUAUAUGAGGAAGGAGCAGAGAAGUGGUUUUGGAAGCUGAGACUAGUUCUGCACUGACAAAGGUCCAAAUGGUUUCCUGUGCAUGGGCUUGCAGGCAUACCUAGUGACUGACAUGCAAUCUUUCAAAUGCAAUGGCCUGGUUUUUUUGGUUUUUUUUUUUUUGUUGUUGUUUUUUUUUUUGUUUUUUUUGGGUUCUCCCUCCCCUUUCCUGGACCAUUUUGUUAAUUAAAAUUCCUUCUGAAUGUUGUGUGUUUGUGGGAGUGUUCUGUUGGUUGGGACUGAAAACUGGAAAUGUUUCCCUGCGUGAGGAUAUAGAAUCUAGGAAGUGCCUUUACAGGGAGGAAUAGAGUUGCUGCAGGAAGAAAGCUGGAAGGAAGGAGGAAUUGCUAGAGGCUUUGUGUACACCUCUGGUACUUGGGCAUCUGUAGCCCACGGUGGCUGAUGUUUGUUUUGGUUUGGUUUUUAGGGAUGCACUUUCUCUCCUGUAGGUUGUUCUGUUUCCUUGGCAGAGUAGCAAUAAUAACUUUUUUUUUUUAAUACCUUUAUUAAUUAUCCAAAGCAAUGAUUCUAUCAGACUAGAUGGAAGCUCCUGCAGGGUGUGGCAGCCCUAUUAUUUAAACAGCCUUAAGGUUUUCAGCUGGAAGGCAUAACUCUCAGUCCUUUCUUCUCUUCAGCUUGGGGCUGACUGCACUGCUCUGAUAGUGAAGGUUCGGGGCUAUUUUCCAGAUGCUGGUGUAAAUAGAAAUGAUUUUAAAAGGUUCAUUUUCUUCUGGGUUCUCUUCUGUUGGAUAACCAUGCUCUUGUUUUCAUUUCCCUUUCUGUCAGAGCACCUCCUGUGUUACUCCCCAAGGACUGGCUGUCUCUGGCAACUUUGGAAUAAAUCCUUUAACAGCCCUGACCCUGCCUGGGGCUGCCCAAGGCUGAGCAGUGCUGCAGUCUGUUUUUAGGGUUGUAAUGUGCCUUCUCUUAAGUGGAUAACAGUUAGUGAACAAACGAUUAGCAAAGCACUUGGUGAGUGUGACUUUCCUUUGCCAAAAUGAACCUGGUUUGCCUUCUGUGCAGCGAUGUGGGAUGCUUCCCUUGGCUCUGCUGCCUGUUUGCAAAGAAGUGAAAAUAGAGGUAGACAAGGAAACUGCAGAUCUUGAGGGCAGAACCCUGACUUCACUGUGUGUGUGAACUUCCUACCACUGCUGAAUGGUGACUGUUAGGUGCUGUUAGGAUUGGGUACCACUGAUAGGUCUGCUGUCAAGCAGUCGGUUGUGGCUGUUCUUCCCAGAGCUCUGUGGUGAGGUGGGCUUCCAUUCCAUUUCUGAACAAUGAUGCCUCCUGCCUAAGGGAGCUACCUGUAUCAGCAAGGCUGCUGUUAACCAUUCUUAUAAAACUUCUGGGAAGUAAGGGAUCAGGCUUGUGUAUUCUGAAAACCCUUGGCUGUCCUGAACAGUUGAUCAGUUUGUGGCAUCCUCUCCACGAUUCAGCACAUCCAAAGCAAGCUGCUGAGCCGUGCUGGAAUCUCACACGGUCUCCUAACUUUAAACUCUGGCUGACAACUAAAUUCCAUGAUCUGGAAUUACUUUCUUUUCUUUUUUUUUACUAGUGCUAUCAGCUUUUCUGUGAAGCACCUCACUGCAGAGUAAAACACAAGUCUUAAAUGUGAGCUUUGCUGGCAGACUGAACCCCAUGGGAGCUGUCAGAUGUCUGCUUGCUCCAGACUAAGGCUGGUGACAUUGCUGAUGAUGUACCUGGAGGCUUGGCACAGACUACAAACAGAGCUCAGCAGUCAGCACACAUGAGCAAGGCAGGUAUGCUAAGCACAAGUUUUAGAACUUCUGGGUUGUAGCAAAGGCCAUAUUACAUAGCAAGAUACUGCUAUCACCUCUAAUAUGUUUACUAUCCUUUACUGCCAAAAACUGAGGUACUUAUACAGAUGUUUAUCCUUUCUUAGUUUUUACACCUGGGUAUUUUGCAUUGGUGAGUUGGGAGAUCCUGUAUUCACUGUAGUUUUCUUCUGUGUGCUGCUGUGUCCUGUGCCACGGACUGACUGGUGACACUGUGAACCCUGUUUGCUUUGCUCCUAAUUGGAAGCCUGUUCAAGUUGUGGGGUUUUUUUCCUGUUUUAAUAAGGAAGGUCUCCUUAGAGAGCAAAAGUAGAAGUGUUCUGGGGUGAGUGAGCAACGUGGAGCUAGGAUGGAGCAGGAGGUGUGUGGUCCCAGCUGAUGGUGGUGUUCAAGUUCAUUAUAUGAGGAUGUAUUUAUUUCCUUGGAUAAACACAACUAAUCUCAUUUCCCUCAGUAACUGCCCUGCUGUAGUAUGCUGCCAAAGUUUCCAUCCCUUCAGGAUGGGGUUUCAUCCCAAUGACACGAGUGCAUACUUGGUUUUUUUCCUCCCUUUAAACAUACCAGAAAUGCUGUUUGCAGCUGAGUGUGGAGCUGAACUCUGCUGCUCCGUGGAUCAGGUGGUGCCAAGUGUUUCUAUUCUGAUGGUCCUACAGCCCCAGGUUCCCCAGGGCAGCCUGCAGGUGGCUGUGUGGCAACUGUACAGCCUCUCAUUUGGGGCUGACCUUCCUUGGAAGGACAGUGCUUGUUUUGUGUCAGUGAGCAUCUCUGGAUAUGGGCUGUACCUCUUGACCCUCAUCAAGUGUUAGGGACAGAAAUGGACAACAGAAACAACCAAAGCUGGGGGAGAGGGGAGGAGGGAAAUGCUUUUAAACUUGGAAUCUGAAACUCAGGUCUUAAAUUGCGGUGGGAUCUGAUCCCAGUGAGUACUGUAGGGAAAGAGCUGUUUCACUUGAUGUGCAAAUAGGCAGCAAGUGUGCACGCUUUGCUGCUGUCUCGACAGCUGUGUGUUUACCCUAUUUCAUCUUUCAUGUGCUGAGGCAGACAGCUUUUAUCUGCUCUGGACUCUUCUUAUGUCAGAGUUUCCAAAACACGAGAGAUAGAUACACAUCUAGCAGUUACAAGGCUGGGCCUGGCAGAGGAGCAGGAAGUGAGAAGUGCAAUGAGAUUAGCAAAGGCUGUGUGUUCAGAGGCUCUGUUCAGCAAGACCAGUUGUGUGAGUUCUCCCUCUGGCACCCCGGGUCCUGGAUUGGCCAACCCCACCUUCCACUGCCUUGAAAGUAAUGGGCGAGAAGUUGUCAUCCUGGCUUGCAAACAGCUGCAGCUGUGCUCGGUGCAGGUGUGCUGGUGCUGUUGCUGUAGCAGUUGUGUGCUGCCUUCCCCGCUGCCUUUGCAUGUGUCCAACUCGUUUCUCAGGAGUGGUGAGUUGUUCCCAAGCCUGCACCUCUCCGGGUUCCUAUGGGGCAUCAGCUCAACCCUUUCUCUACUUGGAUCUGUUUGCUUUUGCUUCUGCACCCCCCCAAAUGAAAAACCACACUGCACCCUGCAGUUCUCACCUGCUGUUCAAUAUCUCUGUUGAUAAGUGGAGAAAUCUGCCUGACAUUCCGCCUCCCCAGGUGUGUGGCUCUCACUGCUGGCCCAUCGCUCUUUGUAAUUUUAUAACUGCAUAAGCAAUUAAAUGUGUUGUGAUAAGUA